AUGAACGCUAGCGGCAGGCUUAAUACAUGCAAGUUGAGGGGCAGCAUGAUAUACGACGAGUAUAUUGAUGGCGACCGGCGGACGGGUGAGUAAUAGGUAGGAGACCUACCUCAUACAGGGGGAUAGCAUAGAGAAAUCUGUGGUAAUACCCCAUGAGGUUAUAUGAAUAGAGGCAAUAUAAUCAAAGCAUAAGCGAUUAUGCGGUAUGAGAGGGGCCUACUGACCAUUAGCUAGUUGGUGAGGUAAGGGCUCACCAAGGCGAAGAUGGUUAGGGGUUUUGAGAGAGAGACCCCCCCACAUUGGAACUGAGAGACGGUCCAGACUCCUACGGGAGGCAGCAGUAGGGAAUAUUGGGCAAUGGGCGAAAGCCUGACCCAGCCAUGCCGCGUGAAGGAAGACGGCCUUAUGGGUUGUAAACUUCUUUACUACGCGAAUAGAGGUUAGUACGAGAUACUAAUAGGAAGGUAGUGUAGUAAAAAGCACCGGCUAACUCCGUG
rnacentral:rRNA from 1 species